rnacentral:snRNA from 1 species
GGAUGUGAAGGUCAUCUGUCUGAGACAUGUCACUCCACUGAUCACCAUGGUUGAUUUGGCUGCUUUCGCUGGCUAGGUGGGGAUUCCUAUCCUCCCUCACUGCUCUAAACACUGCUCUUCUUCCUGAAGCCACACACUCAGUUACAGAGAACAACCUUCCCUGAAUAGGACAUACUGGUUUUUGGUGAAGGCCAUAUGUGCAGUUGCGCUACCCUGCUAGAACCUUCAAACAUGCUCCCAAAGUAGGCAAAAAGUAGGAACUGCAUUUAUCACUUACAUAUCCAAGCUAU